rnacentral:tRNA from 1 species
GCUCGCAUAGCUCAGUUGGGAGAGCACCUGCCUUACAAGCAGGGGGUCACAGGUUCAAGUCCUGUUGUGAGCACCA